UACGUAGGGUGCAAGCGUUGUCCGGAAUUAUUGGGCGUAAAGAGCUCGUAGGCGGUCUGUUGCGUCGGCUGUGAAAACCCGGGGCUCAACCCCGGGCCUGCAGCCGAUACGGGCAGACUAGAGUGUGGUAGGGGAGACUGGAAUUCCUGGUGUAGCGGUGAAAUGCGCAGAUAUCAGGAGGAACACCGAUGGCGAAGGCAGGUCUCUGGGCCAUAACUGACGCUCAUGCACGAAAGCGUGGGGAGCAAACAGG
rnacentral:rRNA from 1 species